UACGAAGGGGGCUAGCGUUGCUCGGAAUCACUGGGCGUAAAGCGCACGUAGGCGGAUUGCUAAGUCAGGGGUGAAAUCCUGGAGCUCAACUCCAGAACUGCCUUUGAUACUGGCGACCUUGAGUCCGGGAGAGGUGAGUGGAACUGCGAGUGUAGAGGUGAAAUUCGUAGAUAUUCGCAAGAACACCAGUGGCGAAGGCGGCUCACUGGCCCGGUACUGACGCUGAGGUGCGAAAGCGUGGGGAGCAAAAGGG
rnacentral:rRNA from 1 species